AGGGGCCAUAGUCGUGGGCACGGGGGAGGUCCCGUCUAUCAGCCGACACCUUCUGCCUCUCUCCGACCAGCUCCAUUUGCUCCUAUCAGGAGGACAAGGCCAAGGGCGUUAGCCAUCGUUUCUUCGACUGUAUCCUCAGCUGAUAUUGGUGGUUUUUACGGGUUCUCAGUCUCCGGUUCUCUGAACAGGAACCAUCAAGACGGCG
rnacentral:misc_RNA from 1 species